rnacentral:pre_miRNA from 1 species
CUUGUACUCCCUCCGUCCGGAAAUACUUGUCAUCAAAAUGAAUAAAAGGGGAUGUAUCUAGAUGUAUAUUAGUUCUAGAUACAUCCCUUUUUAUCAAUUUUGAUGACAAGUAUUUUCGGACGGAGGGAGUAUGAU